GACGUAGGGCGCGAGCGUUGUCCGGAUUUAUUGGGCGUAAAGAGCUCGUAGGCGGCUGGUUGCGUCGGCUGUGAAAACCCAUGGCUCAACCGUGGGCUUGCAGCCGAUACGGGCAGGCUAGAGUUCGGUAGGGGAGACUGGAAUUCCUGGUGUAGCGGUGAAAUGCGCAGAUAUCAGGAGGAACACCGGUGGCGAAGGCGGGUCUCUGGGCCGAUACUGACGCUGAGGAGCGAAAGCGUGGGGAGCGAACAGG
rnacentral:rRNA from 1 species